AAACUUCAAAAACCCCCCCUGUGGUUUCAUGCAUUCUCACUUUCAUACCCUGUGGUUUAAAACGUAUCAAUUUGCCCCCUGUGGUUUCAUUUUUCUCUUUUUGUUAUCAAUUUUAUUAUUUUUUUUUUCUUAAAUCAGUAACAAAAUUAAAAUUAAAGGAUACUAAAGUGAAUAUUCGAUAAACAUAGAUGGUUAUCUGAAGUUUUUUGUAUAUAAUUUAACGAAAUAUUAACGAAAAAGCUUCUGAAAAGAUAAAAACGAAACCACAGGGGGGCAAAUUGAUACGUUUUAAAUCACAGGGUACUAAAGUGAGAAUGCAUGAAACCACAGGGGGGGUUUUUGAAGUUUUCCCAAUUUUUUUUAAUGACUUUAGUUGUAGCAAAAACAGUAGUUCAGAAGCUCAUUUUAAAUACCGACCGUCCCUAUAGCAAGUGGCAAAGGGCUUGGUGGUUGGUACCCGAGACCCAAAUUCGAAUCCUAAUUGAUUCACAUUUCUAGCUAAGUUUAUUUCUAAAUGAAAUAAACGAAACGGGUAGCAUGCUAUCUAUCUCUUAGAUAAAAAGAAAAAAGAAAACGAAGCUCAUUUUAAACAUCAUAUUAUAACAAACUCUAUGCGCCACGACGCGCGGGAUAGAGAGACUCGCUUUAGUAAGGAUGAGAGUUAGAGGGGGUCAACAGAAAGAAAGAAGAAGAAGAAGAAGAAGACGAGGAGAUAAGGAUCGGAGAAGUGUGCAAUUUUUUUAAAAUAAUUUAAUUUUUAUCAAAAGAGUGCAAUUUUUUAUUUAAAAAAAUAUAAUUUUCAUCUCAAAAAGUACAACAUUCAUAUUAAAUAGUGCAAUUUUAUUUUAAUGAUGCAGUCUUCAUUUUUUUUUUUUUCGUUUGCUCUAAUUCUUAGACUUUUCGAUAGCAUAACGAUAUAUAAUGAUAUUUCAAAGAGAAAAAAAAAUCUUUUCUUCAAUUUUUUAUUUUUGAUUCUUAUUUUAUUUUAUUCUUUGCAUCUUUAUUCACUCCUUGUCGAUGGGCGCGUCUUUUUUCUUCACCCUCAUGAGCGGCGAGCAUCUCCUCGACAACGAUCUUAUCGCCUCCGUCCGCUCCGCCCUCAUCCGGGCCCACUUCAAGUUCUUAUUCUCCUUCUUCGGCGCCAAUGAAGGCGGAGACGAAGGGAGAGGAGGUGCCGCCAUUCUCGUUACUAUCGCCUAGAGCCGCGGAGGCGGUGAUCGGUGGAGGAGGCGAUGAGGGUCGGAGAGAAAAAAAGAAAAAAAAAAAGAGAAAAAGGAAUAAGGGUAUUUUGGCUUGUUUAUUAAAAAUUUGGCCGAAAUCUGUAAAAAUCAAAAUAAUGGCACAUUUUUGUAAAAUCGCAAAACUAAUGAAUUGUUUAUGUAAAUAUAUAUACACACAC
rnacentral:lncRNA from 1 species